AUUGAACGCUGGCGGCGUGCCUAACACAUGCAAGUCGAGCGGUAACAGGUGUAGCAAUACAUGCUGACGAGCGGCGAACGGGUGAGUAAUGCUUUGGAAUCUUCCCAGUAGUGGGGAAUAACCAGUCGAAAGAUUGGCUAAUACCGCAUACGUCUGUAAAGGGAAANCGGGGGACUCGCCUCUUCUUCGGAAGAGAGGCCUCGCGCUAUUAGAUGAGCCAAAGCGGAUUAGCUAGUUGUGGGGUAAUGGCCUACCAAGGCGACAAUCCGUAGCUGGUCUGAGAGGACGACCAGCCACACCGGAACUGAGACACGGUCCGGACUCCUACGGGAGGCAGCAGUGGGGAAUAUUGGAC
rnacentral:rRNA from 1 species